UUUCUGUUCAGAAGACAAACAGCUCAAAACCUGCCAUACAUACAACUACUACAGGUCUGCCUCUAUUGGACAGUGUUGCAGGUAGAUCUAAACUACUACAGGUCUGCCUCUAUUGGACAGUGUUGCAGGUAGAUCUAAACUACUACAGGUCUGCCUCUAUUGGACAGUGUUGCAGGUAGAUCUAAACUACUACAGGUCUGCCUCUAUUGGACAGUGUUGCAGGUAGAUCUAAACUACUACAGGUCUGCCUCUAUUGGACAGUGUUGCAGGUAGAUCUAAACUACUACAGGUCUGCCUCUAUUGGACAGUGUUGCAGGUAGAUCUAAACUACUACAGGUCUGCCUCUAUUGGACAGUGUUGCAGGUAGAUCUAAACUACUACAGGUCUGCCUCUAUUGGACAGUGUUGCAGGUAGAUCUAAACUACUACAGGUCUGCCUCUAUUGGACAGUGUUGCAGGUAGAUCUAAACUACUACAGGUCUGCCUCUAUUGGACAGUGUUGCAGGUAGAUCUAAACUACUACAGGUCUGCCUCUAUUGGACAGUGUUGCAGGUAGAUCUAAACUACUACAGGUCUGCCUCUAUUGGACAGUGUUGCAGGUAGAUCUAAACUACUACAGGUCUGCCUCUAUUGGACAGUGUUGCAGGUAGAUCUAAACUACUACAGGUCUGCCUCUAUUGGACAGUGUUGCAGGUAGAUCUAAACUACUACAGGUCUGCCUCUAUUGGACAGUGUUGCAGGUAGAUCUAAACUACUACAGGUCUGCCUCUAUUGGACAGUGUUGCAGGUAGAUCUAAACUACUACAGGUCUGCCUCUAUUGGACAGUGUUGCAGGUAGAUCUAAACUACUACAGG